CCUACGGGAGGCAGCAGUGGGGAAUUUGGUACAAUGGCCGCAAGCCUGAUCCAGCCAUGCCGCGUGAGUGAAGAAGGCCUUCGGGUUGUAAAGCUCUUUCAGUUGGGAAGAAACGAUUACAACUAAUAAUUGUAAUUAAUGACGGUACCGACAGAAGAAGCACCGGCUAACUACGUGCCAGCAGCCGCGGUAAUACGUAGGGUGCGAGCGUUAAUCGGAAUUACUGGGCGUAAAGGGUGCGCAGGCGGUUUUGUAAGUCAGAUGUGAAAUCCCCGGGCUUAACCUGGGAAUGGCGUUUGAAACUGCAAGGCUAGAGUGUAGCAGAGGGGAGUGGAAUUCCGCGUGUAGCAGUGAAAUGCGUAGAUAUGCGGAGGAACACCGAUGGCGAAGGCAGCUCCCUGGGCUAACACUGACGCUCAUGCACGAAAGCGUGGGGAGCAAACAGGAUUAGAUACCCAGGUAGUCCACGCCCUAAACGAUGUCAACUAGUUGUCGGGCCUAAUUGAGGGUUUGGUAACGUAGCUAACGCGUGAAGUUGACCGCCUGGGGAGUACGAUCGCAAG
rnacentral:rRNA from 1 species